rnacentral:lncRNA from 1 species
UCACUACACCGUAGACUCGAGACUCAUCUAUUCGAAGGAAGCGAUCCAUGCACUAGUUUAUCUGGAUCAAUCACUAUCCCCAUGAUGAUCCUACGAUCAGGAGCAAUUUAGGAAUUAGCCAUCAAUGACAUAUGUCUCAAAUUUUUAACUCUUUAAGAAUAUAUGUCAUCAUCUUGUUAAUCUCUUGGAUGAUUCAUGGAUACAUAAAACAUAAAUAGUAAUAUAAGUUUCCAUUAAGUACAAAACUAUAUCCUAGUAAUAUAAUAUGUAUCAGCCA